GCCCGGCUGGCGUAGUGGAAGCGCUUUGGCCUUCUAAGCCAAGGGUCGCGGGUUCGAAUCCCGCGUCGGGUU